rnacentral:rRNA from 1 species
UACGGAGGGUGCAAGCGUUGCUCGGAAUUACUGGGCGUAAAGCGCACGUAGGCGGUUUGUUAAGUCGGGGGUGAAAUCCUGGAGCUCAACUCCAGAACUGCCUUCGAUACUGGCGAUCUUGAGUCCGGGAGAGGUGAGUGGAACUGCGAGUGCAGAGGUGAGAUUCGUAGAUAUUCGCAAGAACACCAGUGGCGAAGGCGGCUCACUGGCCCGGUACUGACGCUGAGGUGCGAAAGCGUGGGGAGCAAAC